rnacentral:rRNA from 1 species
GGUUAAGCGACUAAGCGUACACGGUGGAUGCCCUGGCAGUCAGAGGCGAUGAAGGACGUGCUAAUCUGCGAUAAGCGUCGGUAAGGUGAUAUGAACCGUUAUAACCGGCGAUUUCCGAAUGGGGAAACCCAGUGUGUUUCGACACACUAUCAUUAACUGAAUUCAUAGGUUAAUGAGGCGAACCGGGGGAACUGAAACAUCUAAGUACCCCGAGGAAAAGAAAUCAACCGAGAUUCCCCCAGUAGCGGCGAGCGAACGGGGAGCAGCCCAGAGCCUGAAUCAGUGUGUGUGUUAGUGGAAGCGUCUGGAAAGGCGCGCGAUACAGGGUGACAGCCCCGUACACAAAAAUGCACAUGCUGUGAGCUCGAUGAGUAGGGCGGGACACGUGGUAUCCUGUCUGAAUAUGGGGGGACCAUCCUCCAAGGCUAAAUACUCCUGACUGACCGAUAGUGAACCAGUACCGUGAGGGAAAGGCGAAAAGAACCCCGGCGAGGGGAGUGAAAAAGAACCUGAAACCGUGUACGUACAAGCAGUGGGAGCACGCUUAGGCGUGUGACUGCGUACCUUUUGUAUAAUGGGUCAGCGACUUAUAUUCUGUAGCAAGGUUAACCGAAUAGGGGAGCCGAAGGGAAACCGAGUCUUAACUGGGCGUUAAGUUGCAGGGUAUAGACCCGAAACCCGGUGAUCUAGCCAUGGGCAGGUUGAAGGUUGGGUAACACUAACUGGAGGACCGAACCGACUAAUGUUGAAAAAUUAGCGGAUGACUUGUGGCUGGGGGUGAAAGGCCAAUCAAACCGGGAGAUAGCUGGUUCUCCCCGAAAGCUAUUUAGGUAGCGCCUCGUGAAUUCAUCUCCGGGGGUAGAGCACUGUUUCGGCAAGGGGGUCAUCCCGACUUACCAACCCGAUGCAAACUGCGAAUACCGGAGAAUGUUAUCACGGGAGACACACGGCGGGUGCUAACGUCCGUCGUGAAGAGGGAAACAACCCAGACCGCCAGCUAAGGUCCCAAAGUCAUGGUUAAGUGGGAAACGAUGUGGGAAGGCCCAGACAGCCAGGAUGUUGGCUUAGAAGCAGCCAUCAUUUAAAGAAAGCGUAAUAGCUCACUGGUCGAGUCGGCCUGCGCGGAAGAUGUAACGGGGCUAAACCAUGCACCGAAGCUGCGGCAGCGACACUAUGUGUUGUUGGGUAGGGGAGCGUUCUGUAAGCCUGUGAAGGUGUACUGUGAGGUAUGCUGGAGGUAUCAGAAGUGCGAAUGCUGACAUAAGUAACGAUAAAGCGGGUGAAAAGCCCGCUCGCCGGAAGACCAAGGGUUCCUGUCCAACGUUAAUCGGGGCAGGGUGAGUCGACCCCUAAGGCGAGGCCGAAAGGCGUAGUCGAUGGGAAACAGGUUAAUAUUCCUGUACUUGGUGUUACUGCGAAGGGGGGACGGAGAAGGCUAUGUUGGCCGGGCGACGGUUGUCCCGGUUUAAGCGUGUAGGCUGGUUUUCCAGGCAAAUCCGGAAAAUCAAGGCUGAGGCGUGAUGACGAGGCACUACGGUGCUGAAGCAACAAAUGCCCUGCUUCCAGGAAAAGCCUCUAAGCAUCAGGUAACAUCAAAUCGUACCCCAAACCGACACAGGUGGUCAGGUAGAGAAUACCAAGGCGCUUGAGAGAACUCGGGUGAAGGAACUAGGCAAAAUGGUGCCGUAACUUCGGGAGAAGGCACGCUGAUAUGUAGGUGAAGUCCCUCGCGGAUGGAGCUGAAAUCAGUCGAAGAUACCAGCUGGCUGCAACUGUUUAUUAAAAACACAGCACUGUGCAAACACGAAAGUGGACGUAUACGGUGUGACGCCUGCCCGGUGCCGGAAGGUUAAUUGAUGGGGUUAGCGCAAGCGAAGCUCUUGAUCGAAGCCCCGGUAAACGGCGGCCGUAACUAUAACGGUCCUAAGGUAGCGAAAUUCCUUGUCGGGUAAGUUCCGACCUGCACGAAUGGCGUAAUGAUGGCCAGGCUGUCUCCACCCGAGACUCAGUGAAAUUGAACUCGCUGUGAAGAUGCAGUGUACCCGCGGCAAGACGGAAAGACCCCGUGAACCUUUACUAUAGCUUGACACUGAACAUUGAGCCUUGAUGUGUAGGAUAGGUGGGAGGCUUAGAAGUGUGGACGCCAGUCUGCAUGGAGCCGACCUUGAAAUACCACCCUUUAAUGUUUGAUGUUCUAACGUUGACCCGUAAUCCGGGUUGCGGACAGUGUCUGGUGGGUAGUUUGACUGGGGCGGUCUCCUCCUAAAGAGUAACGGAGGAGCACGAAGGUUGGCUAAUCCUGGUCGGACAUCAGGAGGUUAGUGCAAUGGCAUAAGCCAGCUUGACUGCGAGCGUGACGGCGCGAGCAGGUGCGAAAGCAGGUCAUAGUGAUCCGGUGGUUCUGAAUGGAAGGGCCAUCGCUCAACGGAUAAAAGGUACUCCGGGGAUAACAGGCUGAUACCGCCCAAGAGUUCAUAUCGACGGCGGUGUUUGGCACCUCGAUGUCGGCUCAUCACAUCCUGGGGCUGAAGUAGGUCCCAAGGGUAUGGCUGUUCGCCAUUUAAAGUGGUACGCGAGCUGGGUUUAGAACGUCGUGAGACAGUUCGGUCCCUAUCUGCCGUGGGCGCUGGAGAACUGAGGGGGGCUGCUCCUAGUACGAGAGGACCGGAGUGGACGCAUCACUGGUGUUCGGGUUGUCAUGCCAAUGGCACUGCCCGGUAGCUAAAUGCGGAAGAGAUAAGUGCUGAAAGCAUCUAAGCACGAAACUUGCCCCGAGAUGAGUUCUCCCUGACUCCUUGAGAGUCCUGAAGGAACGUUGAAGACGACGACGUUGAUAGGCCGGGUGUGUAAGCGCAGCGAUGCGUUGAGCUAACCGGUACUAAUGAACCGUGAGGCUUAACCUU